rnacentral:rRNA from 1 species
ACUGGUGUCAGCCGCCGCGGUAAUACCAGCUCUCCGAGUGGUGUGGAUGUUUAUUGGGCCUAAAGCAUCCGUAGCUGGCUGGGCAAGUCCCCUGUUAAAUCCACCGAUUUAAUCGUUGGAGUGCGGGGGAUACUGUUCGGCUAGGGGACGGGAGAGGCAGACGGUAUUUCCGGGGUAGGGGUGAAAUCCUAUAAUCCCGGGAAGACCACCAGUGGCGAAGGCUGUCGGCUAGAACGCGCUCGACGGUGAGGGACGAAAGCUGGGGGAGCGAACCGGAUUAGAUACCCGGGUAGUCCCAGCUGUAAACGAUGCGGGCUAGGUGUUGGGGUGGCUACGAGCCACUUCAGUGCCGCAGGGAAGCCAUUAA